UGCGUAGGCGGGCUAAUAAGUCAGUGGUGAAAUCUCUCGGCUCAACCGGGAAACUGCCAUUGAUACUGUUAGUCUUGAGUUCGGUUGAGGUAGGCGGAAUGUGUAAUGUGGCGGUGAAAUGCUUAGAUAUUACACAGAACACCAAUUGCGUAGGCAGCUUACUAGACCGACACUGACGCUGAGGCACGAAAGCGUGGGGAGCGAACAGGAUUAGAUACCCUGGUAGUCC
rnacentral:rRNA from 1 species